rnacentral:rRNA from 1 species
AUACGGGAGGCAGCAGUGGGGAAUCUUGCGCAAUGGGCGAAAGCCUGACGCAGCAACGCCGCGUGCGGGAUGAAGGCCUUCGGGUUGUAAACCGCUUUCAGGAGGGACGAAAUUGACGGUACCUCCAGAAGAAGCCCCGGCCAACUACGUGCCAGCAGCCGCGGUAACACGUAGGGGGCAAGCGUUGUCCGGAUUUAUUGGGCGUAAAGAGCUCGUAGGCGGCUUAGUAAGUCGGGUGUGAAACCUCCAGGCUCAACCUGGAGACGCCACCCGAUACUGCUGUGGCUAGAGUCCGGUAGGGGAGCGUGGAAUUCCUGGUGUAGCGGUGAAAUGCGCAGAUAUCAGGAGGAACACCAGCGGCGAAGGCGGCGCUCUGGGCCGGUACUGACGCUGAGGAGCGAAAGCGUGGGGAGCAAACAGGAUUAGAUACCCUGGUAGA